UCCGGUGGUCAUGGCGGAGGGGAAACGCCCGGUUACAUUCCGAACCCGGAAGCUAAGCUCUCCAGCGCCGAUGGUACUGCACGGGGGACCGUGUGGGAGAGUAGGUCGCCGCCGGAC
rnacentral:rRNA from 1 species